AUACGUAUGUCGCAAGCGUUAUCCGGAAUUAUUGGGCGUAAAGCGAGUCUAGGCGGCUUGUUAAGUCAGAUGUGAAAAUGCGGGGCUCUACUCCGUAUUGCGUUUGAAACUGGCAGGCUAGAGUACUGGAGAGGUGGGCGGAACUACAAGUGUAGAGGUGAAAUUCGUAGAUAUUGGUAGGAAUGCCGAUAGUGAAGACAGCUCACUGGACAGAUACUGACGCUAAAGCUCGAAAGCGUGGGGAGCGAACAGGAUUAGAUACCCUAGUAGUCC
rnacentral:rRNA from 1 species